CGGAGCGGCCAGAGAGCCCAAAGAUGGCAGUGCUCUCUGGGGGCUGCCAGAGCUGCUCUGUCUGGUGCCUUCAUCUUCUGCAGGAGCUGCAGUGGCCUGGAGUGGUGAAGACUUCCCUGAGGACCCAACCCCACACAGCUGCCAGCAGAUGCAGAAACAGAUGCCAGACUUUCAUUUGGAGGGCCAGGUGAGCGUCUCUGUGGUCCUGGGGGCGUCAUCGGGAGCCUCAGAAGAAUGUUAGAACACCGGGCCACGCAGCCAGCUCAGCUCUCUGGGCCAUCUGGGCGCCAUCCCAUGCAUUUCCUACAGUCAGGCCUAGCUUCGGCGGGAGCCACACAGGACGGGGACCAUGGUUGGGUUCUGGGGAGAUACAGGGGAAGGAAUGGUCAGAGACAGAGGAAUCACAUGACCGCCUGACCAGACAGGAACCAGCCUUGGGAGUCAGAGAUGACCCGUCGUCGUUCUCUUGCUCUCCGAAUUGCAGCGGCAUGGCCUCGCGGGCAGACCGCUGGCCUCCGGGCCAAGACUGCCUCGACUCCUGCUUUGGAGCGACAGGGCUGGGUGGUGCGGAGCAGCCGGACUCGGUUUUCUCAGCUGUCCCUGCCUCGCAUGUAGGAAGGACCCAGGGAGAUGUGCCCUCUACAAAGAGUCGGGCUUCCCUCUCCUCCAGGCAAAGCCCCCCUUGUCCGCCGC
rnacentral:lncRNA from 1 species